AGCUCCAGGCCCUCCUUGGUGGAAUGGUGUUAUCUUGGAUGAACAGCCUGUUGUUUAGGACUUCUGGCUGCUGUGGACACCAGAUGUUUGAGUGGAUUUGAACUUUCAAAGAACUGGUCCAUACAUUCCACAACUUGGAGAUCUCAAAACACCAAAUGAAAGGAAAGUCCUGGUUGUCUCACCAAAUGUUUGUUCAAGAGACUCUUCCGAAAAAUGAAAGAACAGGAUGACAGGUCAACUCAGCUGUACACCUCUGGACAUGUCCUGCAUUGAUUGGAGAUGUCUCAAGGAAGUGAAUGCCAGAAAUGACGAAUCA